UAAGAGCUGCAGGAACAACCCUACAUCAGUCGAAUGCAAAUCAACUACUUUAAUUAAGCUAAGCCCUC
rnacentral:tRNA from 1 species